AUGAACGCUGGCGGCGUGCCUAAUACAUGCAAGUCGAGCGAACAGACGAGGAGCUUGCUCCUCUGACGUUAGCGGCGGACGGGUGAGUAACACGUGGAUAACCUACCUAUAAGACUGGGAUAACUUCGGGAAACCGGAGAUAAUACCGGAUAACAUGUUGAACAGAAUGGUUUAACAGUGAAAGACGGUCUUGCUGUCACUUAUAGAUGGAUCCGCGCCGCAUUAGCUAGUUGGUAAGGUAAUGGCUUACCAAGGCAACGAUGCGUAGACGACCUGAGAGGGUGAUCGGCCACACUGGAACUGAGCCACGGUCCAGACUCCUACGGGAGGCAGCAGUAGGGAAUCUGCCGCAAUGGGCGAAAGCCUGACGGAGCAACGCCGCGUGAGUGAAGAAGGUCUUCGGAUCGUAAAACUCUGUUAUUAGGGAAGAACAAAUGUGUAAGUAACUAUGCACGUCUUGACGGUACCUAAUCAGAAAGCCACGGCUAACUACGUG
rnacentral:rRNA from 1 species